AGAACGAACGCUGGCGGCAUGCCUAAUACAUGCAAGUCGAACGAACUCUUCGGAGUUAGUGACGCACGGGUGCGUAACGCGUGGGAAUCUGCCCUUGGGUUCGGAAUAACAGUUGGAAACGACUGCUAAUACCGGAUGAUGACGAAAGUCCAAAGAUUUAUCGCCCAGGGAUGAGCCCGCGUAGGAUUAGCUAGUUGGUGAGGUAAAGGCUCACCAAGGCGACGAUCCUUAGCUGGUCUGAGAGGAUGAUCAGCCACACUGGGACUGAGACACGGCCCAGACUCCUACGGGAGGCAGCAGUAGGGAAUAUUGGACAAUGGGCGAAAGCCUGAUCCAGCAAUGCCGCGUGAGUGAUGAAGGCCUUAGGGUUGUAAAGCUCUUUUACCCGAGAUGAUAAUGACAGUAUCGGAGAAUAAGCCCGGCUAACUCCGUGCCAGCAGCCGC
rnacentral:rRNA from 1 species